GACGAACGCUGGCGGCGUGCCUAAUACAUGCAAGUCGAGCGAAUCGAUGGGAGCUUGCUCCCUGAGAUUAGCGGCGGACGGGUGAGUAACACGUGGGCAACCUGCCUAUAAGACUGGGAUAACUUCGGGAAACCGGAGCUAAUACCGGAUACGUUCUUUUCUCGCAUGAGAGAAGAUGGAAAGACGGUUUCGGCUGUCACUUAUAGAUGGGCCCGCGGCGCAUUAGUUAGUUGGUGAGGUAAUGGCUCACCAAGGCGACGAUGCGUAGCCGACCUGAGAGGGUGAUCGGCCACACUGGGACUGAGACACGGCCCAGACUCCUACGGGAGGCAGCAGUAGGGAAUCUUCCGCAAUGGACGAAAGUCUGACGGAGCAACGCCGCGUGGACGAAGAAGGCCUUCGGGUCGUAAAGUUCUGUUGUUAGGGAAGAACAAGUACCAGAGUAACUGCUGGUACCUUGGCGGUACCUAACCAGAAAGCCACGGCUAACUACGUGCCAGCAGCCGCGGUAAUACGUAGGUGGCAAGCGUUGUCCGGAAUUAUUGGGCGUAAAGCGCGCGCAGGUGGUUCCUUAAGUCUGAUGUGAAAGCCCACGGCUCAACCGUGGAGGGUCAUUGGAAACUGGGGAACUUGAGUGCAGAAGAGGAAAGUGGAAUUCCAAGUGUAGCGGUGAAAUGCGUAGAGAUUUGGAGGAACACCAGUGGCGAAGGCGACUUUCUGGUCUGUAACUGACACUGAGGCGCGAAAGCGUGGGGAGCAAACAGGAUUAGAUACCCUGGUAGUCCACGCCGUAAACGAUGAGUGCUAAGUGUUAGAGGGUUUCCGCCCUUUAGUGCUGCAGCUAACGCAUUAAGCACUCCGCCUGGGGACUACGGCCGCAAGGCUGAAACUCAAAGGAAUUGACGGGGGCCCGCACAAGCGGUGGAGCAUGUGGUUUAAUUCGAAGCAACGCGAAGAACCUUACCAGGUCUUGACAUCCUCUGACAACCCUAGAGAUAGGGCGUUCCCCUUCGGGGGACAGAGUGACAGGUGGUGCAUGGUUGUCGUCAGCUCGUGUCGUGAGAUGUUGGGUUAAGUCCCGCAACGAGCGCAACCCUUGAUCUUAGUUGCCAGCAUUUAGUUGGGCACUCUAAGGUGACUGCCGGUGACAAACCGGAGGAAGGUGGGGAUGACGUCAAAUCAUCAUGCCCCUUAUGACCUGGGCUACACACGUGCUACAAUGGAUGGUACAAAGGGCUGCAAACCUGCGAAGGUAAGCGAAUCCCAUAAAGCCAUUCUCAGUUCGGAUUGUAGGCUGCAACUCGCCUACAUGAAGCCGGAAUCGCUAGUAAUCGCGGAUCAGCAUGCCACGGUGAAUACGUUCCCGGGCCU
rnacentral:rRNA from 1 species